UGCUUCUAUAGUACUGCAUACUAUUUAAAAAAAUAAAAAGUAUUUAACAAAUAUUUAAUUUGAGCUGAUUAACAAAAGUUAAUUGUCCGAAAAAAAAAAAUCAACUCACUCAAAAUGACUUUAAUUUGCGGUUUAAAAUCUGCAGUUAUAUUAGUUUGUUGACAAUUAAGGCAUCACAUGUUCCAAUCUUUUCCUCUUUGUAAUGUUUGAUAGAAAAACGUGAAUAGGAAUAUGUACAUUUAUUGCCUUUUAUUUGAUAAACAUGAUGCUGUCAAACAUUACAGUCUCAAAAAAACACAAAAAUCAAUGAAUCAGUAUUGUCAACACAAAUCAGAGCAGGAUGACAACAUCUAUUUAAAAUCCCAAGAAUAAAAACAGAGAUAAAUACUGAUCCCGUGUCAGGAAUAACUUAAUUAACUGUUAAUUUCAUAAGCAGGUAUGAGACUAAAAUUACAGCAGAGGCAGAUCUGGGCUGCUGAGAAGCUCUUGCCCAACAUCAGAGUCUCUAAGAGCGAAGAAAGUCACUCCAGAGCUGUACGCUGCUGGAAUCACAAGAUGUGUCAUCUUAGCCUGGUCUUCAUCAUUCUGCUCUUCCUCGCUGACCAUCUGUCUAACUUGACCUAUAAAUAAAAGAAACUCAUGGUCAGUUGAGUACAGCUCAAUGUAUUUAGCUUGACAUCUAUGUGACAUUUACAUGUCAACAGCAUAUGACACACACUUCUGCACUGUGAGGACUUGUGGUGUAAAUUUAGUUCGAUGUGGAUAAUCUGCGUUAAAAUGUACAUAAAAAGUCAGUAAAUAAAUAGAGUGUGACUUAAAGACUGCUGUACCCUCCACAUUUAAUGUUUUCCAGCGCAGAUCAGGAUGCUGAUCUGAGAUCUGUGAUAGAUGAAUGCCUGGCGUCAGUCUCUUCAGAACAUCCUCACGGCGAAUGAGAAGCACAGACUCGCUGCACAGACGCUCAUGAACCUCCUCUUCACUUACUAUGGGAGAAAAUAACCAGUUUAGAAUCCAAGAAGGAACAACAAGAAAUUUCAUUCACAUAUAUAUAUAUAUAUAUAGUAUACAGUAUAUACUGCCUGUGUAUAUAUAUAUAUAAACACACACACACACACACACACACACACACACACACACACACACACACACACACAUAUUAGUGUUAUCAAAAUUAACACAUUCGAUUAUUUUUUUCAGUUUAAUGUUAAAAAUAUUUAACGCAAUUAACGCAGGAUUGGAGCUAGGGCUCCACACUCACAACUGUUGCUUCUGUCUCUUUUUUCUUGACGAGAAUUGCAUUUAUUUAGACGCAGAACAUCUUUACGACCACAUCAAAUGGAAGACUUUCAGAUGUGCACUCCGACUUUGCCAGUUCCAACUAGUGCCAGGCGCUAGACAAACAAGUGUGGAAAAGGUCCAGGUGACGAGGGAGCUUCAGUAGAACAACAGUCAACUGUGGUCAGAUGAGAUGUUGUCAAGCCAUAUGUCAGUAAAAACUAAUUUUCCUGUCCUGUCUGCCAUUAUGCUGUGCUUGUAGCAAUGCACAAAUGCAGUGGUGCGUGCUGUAUAUCAUUUCAUAUUAAAUCCAGGGCCGGACUUAACCAAUAAGUGAGGUAAGUGGCCACUUAGGGCCCCAGGGAAUCAAGGGGUCUCAUCUGAUAUUGGCGAAACAUAUUUGGCAAGCGCUCCAGUGUGUAUUUGUGUUCUGGAGAGCGCCAAAAUGUUCACUCACCGCUCAAAACACAGCUUUUAGUGAUUAUAGAGGGAGCGCUCUUUGCACACUUUCUAGGUUGUACAAUCCUGCCUGACUGUCUCAGAACGGAUAUACUGUAUUAAACUCAGAGAAGAAAGUAUCGUGUUUGAUCUCAUGAAUUCAUUUGUCUUGAUGUUUCAAAAUGACCCACUUGUGUGCUUUUCCUAUGCGCACCAGUGCAAACUGUUGCUCUGUGAUACAAAUGCACGAAUCCGAUGACUGAUUUUCGCUUAAUAAUAGAUUACAUUUUUGAUUUGAUUCUCUGCAAACCCUAUCGUAUGCCUUAAGAACACUUGGAAUAUGGAAAAAGUUGCAUGGGAUAAUUUUAUGCCAUUUGAAUCCUUUUUUGUAAAAAGAUUGAAGAAGGUUACAAUUCAUGAAAUGGACAAGUGCAAGCAUUUUCUUUUUAUGCCCACCACUAUCUCCAUCAUCUAACACCCCAAAUUCAACUUGUCAGCUCAUUAGAGACUUUAAGACCUAUAAUGUUAGGUGCGAUUAAUCUCAAUUUCAGAAAAACAAAAAGUGCACUUAAUUAGUUGUCUUUUAAUCGAUUGACAGCACUAAUAUUUACAGGUGCAUCUCAAUAACUUAGAAUGUCGUGGAAAAGUUCAUUUAUUUAAUUAAUUCAACUCAAAUUGUGAAACUUGUGUAUUAAAUAAAUUCAGUGCACACAGACUGAAGUAGUUUAAAUCUUUGGUUCUUUUAAUUGUGACGAUUUUGGCUCAUAUUUAACAAAAACUCACUAUCUCAACAAAUUAGAAUACUUCAUAAGAUCGAGAAAAAAAAAAAAUAGUGAAUUGUUGGCCUUCUGGAAAGUGUUCAUUUACUGUACAUGUACUCAAUACUUGGUAGGGGCUCCUUUUGCUUUAAUCACUGCCUCAGGAGGUGAUCAAUUUGUGGCACUGCUGAGGUGGUAUGGAAGCCCAGGUUUCUUUGACAGUGGCCUUCAGCUCAUCUGCAUUGUUUGGGCUCUUGUUUCUCAUUUUCCUCUUGACAAUACCCCAUAGAUUCAGGUCUGGUGAGUUUGCUGGCCAGUCAAGCACACCAACACCAUGGUCAUUUAACCAACUUUUAGUGCUUUUGGCAGUGUGGGCAGGUGCCAAAUCCUGCUGGAAAAUGAAAUCAGCAUCUUCAAAAAGCUGGGCAGCAGAAGGAAGCAUGAAGUGCUCCAAAAUUUCUUGGUAAAGUAAAUGGGUGAAGUGACUUUGGUUUCCAAAAAACACAAUGGACCAACACCAGCAGAUGACAUUGCACCCCAAAUCAUCACAGACUAUGGAAACUUAACACUGGACUUCAAGCAACUUGGGCUAUGAGCUUCUCCACCCUUCCUCCAGACUCUAGGACCUUGGUUUCCAAAUGAAAUACAAAACUUGCUCUCAUCUGAAAAGAGGACUUUGGACCACUGGGCAACAGUCCAGUUCUUCUUCUCCUUAGCCCAGGUAAACGCCUCUGACGUUGUCUGUGGUUCAGGAGUGGCUUAACAAGAGGAAUACGACAACUGUAGCCAAAAUCUUUGACACAUCUAUAUGCCUUGACCCCAGCCUCAGUCCAUUCCUUGUGAAGUUCACUCAAAUUCUUGAAUUCAUUUUGUUUGACAGUCCUCAUAAGGCUGCGGUUCUCUCGGUUGGUUGUGCAUCUUUUUCUUCCACACUUUUUCCUUCCACUCAACUUUCCGUUAACAUGCUUGGAUACAGCACUCUGUGAACAACCAGCUUCUUUGGCAAUGAACGUUUGUGGCUUACCCUCCCUGUGAGGGAUGUCAAAUCAGCAGUCUUCCCCAUGAUUGUGUAGCUUAGUGAACCAAACUGAAAGACCAUUUUGAAGGCUCAGGAAUCCUUUGCAGGUGUUUUGAGUUGAUUAGCUGAUUGGCAUGUCACCAUAUUCUAAUUUGUUGAGCUAGUGAAUUGGUGGGUUUUUGUUAAAUGUGAACCAAACUCAUCACAAUUAUAACAACCAAAGACUUAAACUGCUUCAGUCUGUGUGCAGUGAAUUUAUUUAAUACACGAGUUUUACAAUUUGAGUUGAAUAACUGAAAUAAAUGAACUUUUCCACGACAUUCUAAUUUAUUGAGAAGCACCUGUAUUUUCUAAUGUUUUAAAAGAAGUCUCUUCUGCUCAGCAAGGCUGCAUUUAUUUGUACAGUAAAAAAUGCAUGCCUGGUUCAAGAAGGGGGUCUCAAAAAUGGCCAAAAAAUAUUAUUUUACUUACUUAUUAAUUUAAGUUAGAUUGUGUUUUAUUGUCUGCUAAAAUGUUUAAAAAAUGUUCAGUGUUAAGUAAAUAUUUAAAGCACAUUUUGGCUAUUUAAUUUAUGCAAUGGGAAAAAAAUUGGCAAAAUGAAAAAAAAAAAAAAAACGUGUUCGGUGUUCGGUAUUCGGCCUUCAGCCCAGUAUUUCAUUUUGUUUGGCUUCGGCUUCUGGCAAUAAUUUUAAUUUCGGUGCAUCCCUAGUAUAGUCUAUUGCGCUGCGUGUUUCAGAGAAAAGAAUGAUAAUAUAAAUAUAAAUAUUUAUAAAAUUAAAACAAUCAAAAUGAAAGAUUAAAUAUUUUAUCUGUUCACUUCACUGUUCAUUAACCAACAUCAGAGAAAACUAUAAACCAUUAUUUUAUUGAGAUACUAUUAUAGUUUUUUUUUUUCUUCAAAUAUUUAGAGUGAUUUUUUUUUCCAUUUUAUUUUAAUUUUAUUUCAAGUUUUAGUCAUUUUAUUAUUUUUUUGCAAUUUUAUUUUAUUUUAUUUUAUUUUUUUAUUCAUUUUAAUUUUACUUUUAGUAUGUUAUAGUUUAGUUUAGGUUUAGUUUUUUUAGUACAUCAAGUUAAACCAAAUGUUACUUUGCUAAUUUGCUAAAAUAAUUUUUUAUUAUUAUUAUUAUUAUUUCAGUUACCAUUUCAUUUAUUUCAAGUAACAAAAAAUGUUUUUUUGUUGUCGUUUUGUUUUUUAGUUUCAGUUUUAGUUAACUAUAAUAACCCUGCCAUGAACGUGUGAGUGUGUUGUUAAAUUAAUGAAAUAUUAACUUAAAAUCUUUACAAAUAUUUUACAUCUAGGGUUUUCAGCUAACCAAAAAGUUAAGUUUUCAGAAUAAAACACAGUAUGUAGAGUGGAUGUACCAGCCAUGCUGCGAGAAUGCAGGUAAUCAGGCAGCGGCGCCUCGUUCCUCCUCAGUCUCGUCCUCACGCUGUGGUUCACCAUCUCUGGAGUCACCGUGAUGCCCAGUGCCUGCAGGACGUCCACUACCGCUGUGGCUCCGCACGCUGACACCCCGAUCUGCAGCGUCUGUCUCUGAACGGCCUCCUGGAUGCUCCAUAGCAUGGCAGUGCAGAUCUUAGCCUCCUCUGCGUCCUGCACAGUGUCGUCAUGAGCGGCUUCGGCUUCAGAACGGAUCACCUCCAUGUCUUCUGGCUGCUGACAUGCUUGAAAACAUGCACAAAAGUGUUGUAAUUACCCAUGCCCCCUUUUUCCAAAGCUCCACCCACAAACACAUGCAAAUAUGCCAAAACUAGAAAACUUUGUUUAUGUCUUGAUAUUUAACUUUCCAAUAAAUUGUACUGAAUGCAAAAUAACUGUUUAAGAUAACUCAGCACUGCUAAAUUAAUAAAUGUGCAAUGUGUUCAUGUAAACAAGUCAAAAAAGACAAUAUCUGAACAGUAAAACUUUCUGUUACUAUCAAUAUUUUUUGUAAAAUUAAAGUUAUUAAAAUAAUGACUUGUGGUGUCCAAUUAAUGGAUAAUGAAUGGAUUGUUUAUAAUUAUAAUAUAAUGCUUUACAAUUAUUAAUUGGGAUUAUAAUUGUCAUCAUUUUUAGGGAGAGGGGAUGUAUCUUUUAUCGUAUUGCUGUUGUUGCCUGUAAAUUACUGAAGCAAAGCACUCAAGGACGUUGAGUUGCAUGAUUUUACCAUGGUAAAGAGGGGCUCGGAUAGCAUUUUACCAUGGUAAAAUCACUGACAGAGAUAUUUUCAGCGUGUUCUGAUGAACAUGAAUCAAUGAAUCAUGUCAAAACUGCUGGUCCAUAUGGCACAGCGUCGUUCAUUAUAACAUUAUAGCAUUUUAGUUUUCUUUCAUUGCAACCCAGCUCGCUUAGUGUUGACGGGCUGUUAUGGCGCAGAUCGCAGCUCUUAAGACAUAGAGGGUUAGCUAUGGCAACACAACCAGGAUAAAACGUUUAAAAUAAUAAUAAUAAUAAUAAUAAAUAAUAAUAAAAAAUACAUCUGCUUCGCUACAAACCACUUCACCGGGAGAAACUCGACAAACAAAGUAAAUCCUUCACACAUUUUCCGUUCGCCCCUCUUGACAGGUUUGUUUUUAUUCCUUGAUUAGCUCUCGUGACUCAGCCGGUGUGCUUUGAUUGGCUGGCCGUU
ensembl:lncRNA